rnacentral:misc_RNA from 1 species
CUGCCCUCAAGCACGGCUUGUGUGUUGGGCCCCCGUCCCCCUGUUCUAGGGGGGGACGGGCCCGAAAGGCAGCGGCGGCACCGUGUCCGGUCCUCGAGCGUAUGGGAAGCAACUUUUUGUCACCCGCUCCUGUAGGCCCGGCCGGCGGCCUGCCCAACCCCCAUCAAUCUUUUUUUAACCA